CUUUUUUUUUUUUUUUUUUUUUUUUUUUGUCUUUUUGCUAUUUCUUGGGCCCCUCCUGUGGCAUAUGGAGGUUCCCAGGCUAGGGAUUGAAUCGGAGCUGUAGCCACCGGCCUACGCCAGAGCCACAGCAACACGGGAUCCGAGCUGUGUCUGCAACCUACACCACAGCUCACGGCAAUGCCGGAUCGUUAACCCACUGAGCAAGGCCAGGGACCGAACCUGCAACCUCAUGGUUCCUAGUCGGAUUCGUUAACCACUGCACCAUGGCGGGAACUCCCCUCAUUUGUUUUUCUACACAUUGAUUCUGCCAGGCCUGCCAAGAUGGGUCUGGGUCUGAAGAUCUAGUUCAGUGUUUGGUGGCCCUCGCCUCUCCUCUACCAUUGGUCCUGCUUCUAGGUUUGAAUCUCAGUUCGACCACUUUUUCUCUGUGUGGCCUUGAACAAGCGACUUAAUCUCUCUGCUUCAGUCUCAACUGUAAAAUAGGCAUAAUGAUAAUACUUCUUCUAGGGUUGUAAGUAUUUUCAGAUAUAGACAUAUAAAUGCGCAACAGGGCCUGGCACAGAACAAGUGUUGUGGGUCACUUAUUAUCAUUACAUCCCAACAUGAAAGUUUCCCAGCCCACAGCUGGUAACUCCAAAGACUGGGGUGAAUCCAAGGUCUUUCAGGUCAAUGCUCUUGGAGCCCCAAGAACCAGAUCUUCUCAAGGAAAGCCCCUGAGUCCCUCAGCUCCACCCCUGGCCCUCACCCAGCUUGAGGAAGCUGUGCCUGAAACAGGAUCAUUCCCAUCUGUCUUGUCGGAACCUGCUCACUCAAACGGCAGCAGUGGAGCAUUGGGCUGUAGGACUGAGCAACCUUGGGUUUGACUCCCACCUCUACCACUCUGCUGCUUUGUGUUCUUAAGUAAGUAAGUUCACCUGCUUAGUGGCCUCCUUUGAAAACAGGGCUAAUGAAAGUAGAAAAUUCAUAGAAGUGUUGUGAAGAGCUAGGGCAGUGGGAGGUAAAAGAAUAUGACGUUAAGAACUUGUCUUCUGGGAGUUCCCAUUGUGGCUCAGCAUGUUACAAACCCGACUAGUAUCCAUAAGGAUGAGGGUUCCAUCCCUGGCCUCACUCAGUGGGUUAAGGAUCCGAUGUUGUCCCAAGCUAUGGUGUAUAUCACAGACACAGCUUGGAUCUGGUCUUGCUGUGGUUGUGGUAUAGGCCAACAGCUGCUGCUCCAAUUCAACCCCUAGCCUGGGAACUUCCAUGUGCUGCAAGCCCUAAAACAAACAAACAAAAAAACUUGUCUUCUGGAGCAUGGCUGUGCUGAGUUCAAGUUCUGUUCACUGCCUUCCCCUAGGCAAAUGUCAGCACUCUCAGCCUGUUUCCUGCCAUGUGAAACAGGACUAAUCAUAUCCACUCCCCCCUUCUCAAUCCCCCAGAGCCAGAACUCAGCCAGGCAGCUAACCCCUGAAAAGAGCUUCACACAGGCCUGGUGAAGAGAAAGUGUGCGAUUAACAGGACCAAAUAUUUCUAAAGUACUAAGGGGGAAAACCUGCCCCAGAUCACCUUAAAUGUUGGUUAUUCUCAUUAGGUGUUAAUUAUUUUAUUUGUCCUUUUUUUUUAGGGCCUCAUCUUUGGCAUAUGCAGGUUUCCAGGCUAGUGGUCUAAUCAGAACUACAACUUCCAGCCUACACCACAGCCACAGCAACGCCAGAUCUGAGCUUCGUCUGCAACCUACACCACAGCUCGUGGCAACUCUGCAUCCUUAACCCACUGAGCGAGGCCAGGGAUCGAACCCGCAACCUCAUGGUUCCUAGUCAGAUUCAUUUCUGUUGAGCCACGACAGGAAGUCCCAGUUGUUAAUUACUAAGCACACAGCAUAGUGCCUCACACAUAAUAAGCAGUGCCCAUUCUGUAAACACUGAAUACCUACCAUGUGCCCAGUCCUGUUCUUGAUGCUGAGGACACAGCAGUGGACAAAACUGGCAAAAAUCCCAACGUUUGCAGAGCUGACAGUCAAAUGGAGUGAGAAAGGAAAAAAUUAAGGAUAAAUAAAUCAUAGCAUAUGCUAGAUUGUGAUGCGAGUGAAGGAGAAAUAUUAAACAAGUGGAUACAAAAUGUGAGGUGCAGUUUUCUUUUUUCUUUUUGGCUUUCUGUCUUUUUAGGGCUGCAGCUGCAGCAUAUGGCAGUUCCCAGGCUAGCAGUCCAAUCAGAGCUGUAGCUACCAGCCUACGCUAGUGGAACAGCAACUCAGGAUCCAAGCCACAUCUUUGACCUACACCACAGCUCACGGCAACGCCAGAUCUUUAACCCCCUGAGCUAGGCCAGGGAUCGAAACUGUAUCCUCACUGAUCCUCAAGUUCAUUAACUGCUGAGCCAUGAUGGGAACUCUUCCUGGGGUGCAGUUUUUAAGUAAUAUGGUCAGGGAAGAUUUCACCAAAAGGGUGACAUUUUUUUUUUUUCUUCUUUUUAGGGCUGCACCUGAAGCAUAUGGAAGUUCUUAGACUAGGGGUCAAAUCGGAGCUGCAGUUCCUGGCCUGUGCCACAGCCACAGCAAUGCCAGAUCUAAGCCUCAUCUGCAACCUAUGCCGCAGCAUGCAGCAACACCAGAUCUUUAACCCACUGAGCAAGGCCAGGAAUGAAACCUGCAUCCUCAUGGAUACUAGUCAGGUUCUUAACCCACUGAGCCACGAUAGGUAUUCCAAGAAGGUGAUAUUUCAACAAAGACUUCAAGGAGGUAAGGGGAAAGCCAUGUGAAUACCGAAGGAAGGAACUUCUAAGGCAGAGGGAACAGCCUGUGCAAAGACUGAAGCAGGAAUGUGCUUGAGUUGUUUAAGGAACAGCCAAGGGUUAGUGAGGCUGGACCAGAGUAAGAGAGGGGUGAGUGGGAGGCAAAGGCAGGAUGAGAUGAGGCAGAUGGUACAGGACCUGGUGGACCAUUGGACAACUUUGGUUUUUUCUGAGUGAGACAGAAGCUUGCAGUGGUUUUGGAUUUUGCAUUAUCUUAAUUUUACUUUGUUGGAGGGGGUAGGGGGGAGUGUUAUUUGAUUAUAUAAUAACUUCAGGUACCUGAGUAUAUCAUCAGUCUUUUGAGAUUGCAACACACCAACGUUCCAUUUUAAAAUAGCACAACACAUACAAUAAGCAUAUAUAUUUUCUAUCAAAAUCUCAUCCUUAAAGUACAUAAACUCAUAUUCCCUCCC
rnacentral:lncRNA from 1 species